rnacentral:lncRNA from 1 species
GGGUCCAAAGACUGUCACAAUGAGGAGGUCUGAUAGCAGUGGGGGUGGGAGGGUGAGAGGGUUCAGGGGUGCUCACGUGGCUACCUUCCUGGUGCUGGAGUGAUGGCGGUGGCACUGGCAGGUGAGGGCGCAGCACUCAGAACUGUGGACUGGGCCCAAGCAGGCCUUCCUGGCACUGGAGCAAUGGUGGCGGCGCCGGUGUGUCAUGUAUCCAAAGAACUGAGCACCAAAGAAAUGAGGAACCCAGCCUCAAAAAGACAGAUUAAAAAUACCAAGAAAAGACAAAUGCAGAGAGUAACGAAGAGGUUGACAGGAAGGAGAAAUAAUGUCUUCAUGGUUACUUUCUUACUAAGAAAAAGGCAAAGAGAAAAGAAGAAAGCAAACAUGACAGCACUAGAAGCCAGAUGUCACAGUCUCUGCUGCCCCUAGGCAGGGCUCCCUGAAUACCAUUGGCACAUUGUCUGGGAUGAAGGACAAGAAGCAAGGGUUCCUACUACCCAAGACGGGAAGCUUCUGUUGUAGUUGGUUUGGUGGUAGCUUUAACUCAUCCUCCAUAAUACCAAAUGACACUUGAAAGGUACAUUUCACUGGCAUUGGCACUU